ACAGUCAGACCAUGAGGACUCUACAGACCUCAGGUGCUUGCCUGCACUUGAGAACACAUAGUGAUUUUCUGAACUUUUAAAAUGUUUUCUCCUCCCCUCCUUUUCUAGGGUUUUUGCCCUUGCUUGUAACCUAAACCACAAAUAAAGCUUUAAGCCUCUGGCUGUGAGGAGUGGGGCAGCCACUGCCAAGAACAGCAUGGUUCACGUGGGCCCUUUUUCUGCUGCUUUGGAAAAAAGCUCUGGAGCAGACAGCAGAAAGUGUGUUUUUCUCUUUGUCUUCCAAUGGAAUAGCAGAAAGAAAAAAAUGCCUUUUACCAUAGUUGGGGAAGGAGAGAGUCACACAGAGGAAUCUGAAGAGUCUUCCAGGAGUAGUGGAAUCAUGCAGCUAUGAAGCCCCAGUGAUUGCAGGUGCUACUGUGAUUCCAUCCUGAACUUCAUAGACAGACGAUCUCACCAAUAUUCCCCAGAACUUUACCUCUCCAGAGCCCUACCCCACUAGAUAAAGAUAGAAACAGGAUGGGGGGGGCGGGGUAUGGACUGAGCUGCUUACACCCAUGUCUAGCAGAGAAACAAUUACAGGAGCCAGAACUCCCACCUUCCUCACCCCUCAAAAUGAUUUUGGUAGAAAUGCAAAUAAAGACAACAAUGAGAUACCACUUCACUCCUGUGAAAAUGUCAUACAUCAGAAAAGGUAGCAGCAACAAAUGCUGGAGAGUUUGUGGGGUCAAAGGAACCCUCCUGCACUGCUGGUGGGAAUGUCAAUUGGUCCACCCUCUGUGGAGAAC